UACGUAGGGACCAAGCGUUGUUCGGAUUUACUGGGCGUAAAGGGCGCGUAGGCGGCUUCGUCAGUCAGGUGUGAAAGCCCUGGGCUCAACCCGGGAACUGCAUUUGAUACUGCGAAGCUCGAAUCUCGGAGAGGUUGGUGGAAUUCCCAGUGUAGAGGUGAAAUUCGUAGAGAUUGGGAAGAACACCGGUGGCGAAGGCGGCCAACUGGACGAGUAUUGACGCUGAGGCGCGAAAGCGUGGGGAGCAAACAGG
rnacentral:rRNA from 1 species